AUUUCAUCUAGAAGAGGGGCACAUGAGUUUCUUUUAUUUUUUAUUUUAGUGUAUUUUAUUUGAAUUAUUACCGUGAUGAAUUGCUUUCAAUGUUUAGCUUACUUGUUAAAUUUUAAUAGUUUUAAUUAUGUGUGGAUAUUUGUCUUUUGUAGUGUUGGGUUUGGCAUCUUCUUUUAUUUUCAUGUUUUCAAUUAUGUUUGGUUGAAUUUAAUUUCCAGUUUUAAUUUAAUUUAAUUUUCCUCGCAAGAACACUUUCAACCCCCCCCCUUUGUGUUAGACUUAAUUCCUGAACCAUGGUUUGGUCCUUGAGAGACUAAGAGUCAUUUCCUAGCUAUACUGCAUUUCUCAUAUGCAAUCAAAUUUGUAUGGGUUGCGACACCCAUCAAUGAUAAAUGCCUCCCAAUGCAAAGGUCACCAAAACCCCAAACUUUUGACAAUAGAAUGGUUGAAAGAUGAGAUUUUUGUGAGUAGGAGAUGGGAAAACUAGACAAAACCCUUUGGAAAGCUCUUGAAAAUGAAAGAUAGGUGCUAGGGUUCAUAGAGACCGCUUGGGCGAACUCUAAAGAGGAAUUUUCA
rnacentral:lncRNA from 1 species